GACGUAGGAGGCGAGCGUUAUCCGGAUUCAUUGGGCGUAAAGGGCAAGUAGGCGGUUGUCAAAGUUGGGCGUGACAUCUCCUGGCUUAACUAGGAGGGGUCGUUCAAAACUAGGCGACUAGAGGGCAGAAGAGGAAAGCGGAACUCCUGAUGUAGCGGUGGAAUGCUCAGAUAUCAGGAAGAACACCAGUGGCGAAGGCGGCUUUCUGGUCUGCACCUGACGCUGAGAGGCGAAGGCCAGGGUAGCGAACGGGCUUAGAUACCCCGGUAGUCCUGGCAGUAAACGGUGGAUACUAGGUAUCAGGGGUCAAGGCCUUUGGUGCCGAAGCCAACGCGUUAAGUAUCCCGCCUGGGGACUACGGCCGCAAGGUUAAA
rnacentral:rRNA from 1 species